rnacentral:rRNA from 1 species
GCACUGGGGAUGGGUCUAGCAUGUGAGUCGUUGUAGCAAUACAAGGCAUACGGCUCAGUAACACGUGGUCAAUCUAGCCUAUGGACGGGGAUAACCUCGGGAAACUGAGGAUAAAACCCGAUAGAUCAUUAUGCCUGGAACGGUUUAUGGUCCAAACGAUUCGUCGCCAUAGGGUGGGACUGCGGCCUAUCAGCUUGUUGGUGAGGUAAUGGCCCACCAAGGCUAUUACAGGUACGGGCUCUGAGAGGAGAAGCCCGGAGAUGGGUACUGAGACACGGACCCAGGCCCUAUGGGGCGCAGCAGGCGAGAAACCUUUGCAAUGUGCGCAAGCACGACAAGGUUAAUCCGAGUGUUUCCUGCUAAAGGAAUCUUUUGUUAGUUGUAAAACCACUGAUGAAUAAGGGGUGGGCAAGUUCUGGUGUCAGCCGCCGCGGUAAAACCAGCACCUCAAGUGGUCAGGAUGAUUAUUGGGCCUAAAGCAUCCGUAGCCUGUUCUGUAAGUUUCCGGUUAAAUCCAUUAGCUCAACUAAUGGGCUGCCGAAAAUACUGCAAAACUAGGGAGUGGGAGAGGUAGACGGUACUCGGUAGGAAGGGGUAAAAUCCUUUGGUCUAUUGAUGACCACCUGUGGCGAAGGCGGUCUACCAGAACACGUUCGACGGUGAGGGAUGAAAGCUGGGGGAGCAAACCGGAUUAGAUACCCGGGUAGUCCCAGCUGUAAACUAUGCAACUCAGUGAUGCAUUGGCUUGUGGCCAAUGCAGUGCUGCAGGGAAGCCGUUAAGUUUGCCGCCUGGGAAGUACGUACGCAAGUAUGAAACUUAAAGGAAUUGGCGGGGGAGCACCACAAGGGGUGAAGCCUGCGGUUCAAUUGGAGUCAACGCCGGG